AUUGACUAAGGUUUCCAGAGGAAGGCUCGUCCGCUCUGGGUUAGUCGGGUCCUAAGCUGAGGCCGACAGGCGUAGGCGAUGGAUAACAGGUUGAUAUUCCUGUACCACCUAUAAUCGUUUUAAUCGAUGGGGGGACGCAGUAGGAUAGGCGAAGCGUGCGAUUGGAUUGCACGUCUAAGCAGUAAGGCUGAGUAUUAGGCAAAUCCGGUACUCGUUAAGGCUGAGCUGUGAUGGGGAGAAGACAUUGUGUCUUCGAGUCGUUGAUUUCACACUGCCGAGAAAAGCCUCUAGAUAGAAAAUAGGUGCCCGUACCGCAAACCGACACAGGUAGUCAAGAUGAGAAUUCUAAGGUGAGCGAGCGAACUCUCGUUAAGGAACUCGGCAAAAUGACCCCGUAACUUCGGGAGAAGGGGUGCUCUUUAGGGUUAACGCCCAGAAGAGCCGCAGUGAAUAGGCCCAAGCGACUGUUUAUCAAAAACACAGGUCUCUGCUAAACCGUAAGGUGAUGUAUAGGGGCUGACGCCUGCCCGGUGCUGGAAGGUUAAGAGGAGUGGUUAGCUUCUGCGAAGCUACGAAUCGAAGCCCCAGUAAACGGCGGCCGUAACUAUAACGGUCCUAAGGUAGCGAAAUUCCUUGUCGGGUAAGUUCCGACCCGCACGAAAGGCGUAACGAUUUGGGCACUGUCUCAACGAGAGACUCGGUGAAAUCAUAGUACCUGUGAAGAUGCAGGUUACCCGCGACAGGACGGAAAGACCCCGUGGAGCUUUACUGUAGCCUGAUAUUGAAAUUCGGCACAGCUUGUACAGGAUAGGUAGGAGCCUUUGAAACGUGAGCGCUAGCUUACGUGGAGGCGCUGGUGGGAUACUACCCUAGCUGUGUUGGCUUUCUAACCCGCACCACUUAUCGUGGUGGGAGACAGUGUCAGGCGGGCAGUUUGACUGGGGCGGUCGCCUCCUAAAAGGUAACGGAGGCGCUCAAAGGUUCCCUCAGAAUGGUUGGAAAUCAUUCAUAGAGUGUAAAGGCAUAAGGGAGCUUGACUGCGAGACCUACAAGUCGAGCAGGGUCGAAAGACGGACUUAGUGAUCCGGUGGUUCCGCAUGGAAGGGCCAUCGCUCAACGGAUAAAAGCUACCCCGGGGAUAACAGGCUUAUCUCCCCCAAGAGUUCACAUCGACGGGGAGGUUUGGCACCUCGAUGUCGGCUCAUCGCAUCCUGGGGCUGUAGUCGGUCCCAAGGGUUGGGCUGUUCGCCCAUUAAAGCGGUACGCGAGCUGGGUUCAGAACGUCGUGAGACAGUUCGGUCCCUAUCCGUCGUGGGCGUAGGAAAUUUGAGAGGAGCUGUCCUUAGUACGAGAGGACCGGGAUGGACAUACCUCUGGUGUACCAGUUGUCGUGCCAACGGCAUAGCUGGGUAGCUAUGUGUGGACGGGAUAAGUGCUGAAAGCAUCUAAGCAUGAAGCCCCCCUCAAGAUGAGAUUUCCCAACUUCGGUUAUAAGAUCCCUCAAAGAUGAUGAGGUUAAUAGGUUCGAGGUGGAAGCAUGGUGACAUGUGGAGCUGACGAAUACUAAUCGAUCGAAGACUUAAUCAA
rnacentral:rRNA from 1 species